GAUGAACGCUGGCGGCGUGCCUAAUACAUGCAAGUCGAGCGAACAGACGAGGAGCUUGCUCCUCUGACGUUAGCGGCGGACGGGUGAGUAACACGUGGAUAACCUACCUAUAAGACUGGGAUAACUUCGGGAAACCGGAGCUAAUACCGGAUAAUAUAUUGAACCGCAUGGUUCAAUAGUGAAAGACGGUUUUGCUGUCACUUAUAGAUGGAUCCGCGCCGCAUUAGCUAGUUGGUAAGGUAACGGCUUACCAAGGCAACGAUGCGUAGCCGACCUGAGAGGGUGAUCGGCCACACUGGAACUGAGACACGGUCCAGACUCCUACGGGAGGCAGCAGUAGGGAAUCUUCCGCAAUGGGCGAAAGCCUGACGGAGCAACGCCGCGUGAGUGAUGAAGGUCUUCGGAUCGUAAAACUCUGUUAUUAGGGAAGAACAAAUGUGUAAGUAACUAUGCACGUCUUGACGGUACCAAAUCAGAAAGCCACGGCUAACUACGUG
rnacentral:rRNA from 1 species